rnacentral:rRNA from 1 species
UACGAAGGGGGCUAGCGUUGUUCGGAAUUACUGGGCGUAAAGCGCGCGCAGGCGGCCAUUCAAGUCAGGGGUGAAAUCCUGGAGCUCAACUCCAGAACUGCCUUUGAUACUGGCGAUCUUGAGUCCGGGAGAGGUGAGUGGAACUGCGAGUGUAGAGGUGAAAUUCGUAGAUAUUCGCAAGAACACCAGUGGCGAAGGCGGCUCACUGGCCCGGUACUGACGCUGAGGUGCGAAAGCGUGGGGAGCAAACAGGG